rnacentral:tRNA from 1 species
GGAUGUAGCAUAGUGGUAAAGCAGUUGCUUAGCAUGUACUAGGCCCUGGGUUCCAAUUCCCAGUAGCAUACA